GACGAACGCUGGCGGCGUGCCUAAUACAUGCAAGUAGGACGCAGUUGCGAACGGGUUGGUAACGCGUCGGUCACUAGCUAUUAGAGGGGGCUAACUAUUGGAAACGAUAGCUAAUACCGCAUACUAGUAGAUUGACCUGCGUUGUAUUAGCUAGUAGGUAGGGUAAUGGCCUACCUAGGCAACGAUACAUAGCCGACCUGAGAGGGUGAUCGGCCACACUGGAACUGAGACACGGCCCAGACUCCUACGGGAGGCAGCAGUAGGGAAUCUUCGGCAAUGGGGGGAAGCCUGACCGAGCAACGCCGCGUGAGUGAAGAAGGUUUUCGGAUCGUAAAGCUCUGUUGAUAAGGAAGCGGUACUUAACCAGAAAGCGACGGCUAACUACGUGCCAGCAGCCGCGGUAAUUC
rnacentral:rRNA from 1 species